UUUUAAACGAAUAUUCCCAUCGGUGGCUAUCACAUAGCAAUUUAGAUCAAUUUCUCUGUCCAUUAUAGUCCGAUCGGUGUAAAGGAGCAAUACGAAUUCUGAAAAUAGACUGAAAUUUGACGGGAAGUGUCUUUACGAUACCAUUCACCAUCAGGCCUUUUUUUCAAAUUUCAAUUUUUAAUUACAACCAAUCACGUUAAAUUCAGAUCUGUUUUCAUAAUUAAAAGAGUCUAUGGAUAAAAGUGCUCAUUAAAAUUAUUAGAGUGGUUGAUUUGAAACG